URGRUGCAUUGCCGGUGCCAAUUGAUUGGAUYACUCUAAUCAAUUGGCUGAGAUCAUACGGCAGAACUUGAUCUAGUUAAUACUAGCGCAAAGAAAAUGCAUUUUUYCCUYU
rnacentral:ncRNA from 2 species